rnacentral:rRNA from 1 species
UACGUAGGUCGGCAAGCGUUGUCCGGAUUUACUGGGCGUAAAGGAGCGACGCAGGCGGCUGGUCAAGUCCGAUGUGAAAUCUCCCGGCUACCAACGUGGGAAACUGGCAUCGGAAACUGAUCGGCUUGAAGAUGGGAGAGGGUAGUGGAAUUCCCGGUGUAGUGGUGAAAGUGACGUAGAUAUCGGGAGGAACACCAGUGGCGGAAGGCGAACUACCUUGGCCCAUUCUUGACGCUGAGGCGCGGAAAGCUAAGGGGAGCGAACGGGG